rnacentral:lncRNA from 1 species
GGGAGGCGGACGGCAUCUUUCAUUAUAAAUUGGUGAGGAGGCUAGCGAGAGACAAGUAUGCCUUGUUGUGUAUAUUAAUCUUGAGCUGGUCAUAGUUUUUCUUUCUUGGAUGUCUUAGCAUGAUUGAUGGUUGCAGACUUGCAGUAGGUGCCCUGAAACUAAUAUACAGUCUAACAUGAUGAUAUACAGAACAAACAAGAGGAUCGUUCAUUGAAUUUCCAGUAUCGUGCAGUCAGCUAUGAGGAACUGAUGAUUAGAGCAAACUACGUUGCUGUAGACACACACAAUGAAUGGAUGGACGUAUCCUCAAGUCGACUCAGGGAAAGUUCUAGCCAUGAGCCUGAAGCCGUGCGAGGUUAUUCAAAGAAAAAGAAUAGAGUCGCAUCCCGGGAGGAUCUUUGAAUUGAAGAAGUAAACAAAACAUUGGGAUGGCAAUAUGAUGCCCAAGUUGUUUCUGCAUGUCUAUUGCUAUAUGCUACAUGUCAAAUUAGAUGUUCUGAGAUCAGUGAUACCCUAACCAAA